rnacentral:lncRNA from 1 species
ACUUCCAAGAUGGCGUCUUCACUCACAUAUCUGGAACCUCGGUGCUCCUUGUCCUUCACGCUCCAUUUGGUGCCUUAUUUUCCAGGCCCUCUUCCCUCAGGUAGCCUGGGCUUUCUCACAGCAUGGUGGCAUCAGGGUUGUAGGAUUUCUUACAAGGCACUGACUUGUAGAAAGUUUUCAGGAGCUCCGAAUGAGGAGAUUCAAGGGCUCUGACGACCAACCGUCGGCUGUCCCAGUACGUCACUUCUUCCACAUUCUAAUGGUCAGAGUAGUCACUAAGGCCAGUCCAGGUUCGCGGAAGGAAAAUUAGAUUCCACGUCUCUAUGGGAGGACUAGCCACACUAAGCCACUGCGCUGGUUUAGAACUGUCUGAAGUCCCUCCUAGAGGUCGUGUGUUUGAUUCUGCAUCUCCGUGAUUUGUGAAUCUUGCAUCAUUUAAAUUCAGCCUUACACACUGAUGCCUUUGGUGCCGUCCCAAUAUUUAGGUAGCAAACUCGUAGUGGGUAGAGAUUCAGGCUUAAGCUUCCAGCCUGGCUCUGAGGAGAACUGUCUGGGGCUCCCUGCCCUCUUCCCCAUGGAUGAGACUCUUCCCAGCCUUGGGCAAACACAGCGGGGAGCUGGCACCAUCUCCCGCUAGACACCUCCUCCUUUUCCUCUUGCCCUUACCAUGACUCCCGAGUUAUUCUCAGAAGUAAAAGCUUUCCACGCCUGCUCUUCUCUCCUGCAGCCAGGAGUGCAAAUUUAGAUAUUGGAGCUGCUCAGGCAGAAAAAUGGCCCUGGAAUCAGGGAAGCAGAAACCUGCAGCUGCCACGAAAGGACCGCGGAGAUGAAGACCCGGAAGCUUGCAUGUGUUGAAGCCCGGGGUGUGGGGGACUGUGGUCACGUACUCGAGGGGGCUUCAGAGACCUCUGGGAAGCCCUUUCUGCCCACUCGAAGCCUGCCCCUGUGCCUGACAAUCUUCCAUCGGGAGCGAUGUCAUAAAGAAGAAAUGGAAUUCAGUGGGAAGAGUGGUGGACUCGGGGACAAAAGAUCUGGGUUUGCGCCCUGGCUCUGACCUAACUCACCAGCAUUAUUGGAGGCACGUUAGUCUUCUCAGGUCAAAGCUUCCAUCUCUCCCUGUUUCAUGAACUUAACUUCUGAGGAGUACUGGUCAGGUGUUCUGUAGGAUGUCCACCUGCUGUUGGUCUGAUGCUUUUCACAUGAGGAUUCUGGGGUGAUGCUUCCCAAGAAGAAGACCUGAGCUUUCUCCAAGAUGGAUGAAGACAUGCUCCAUCAAUUGGUACUUGCCUCAAAGUCGAGUUUUAUUCAAGUUAAACUGAAGUCACUGCAAAUUCAAGCAAGAUCCCAAUAUCGACUAAGUUCCUUCUCAGAAGUCCUCCCCCAGGGUCAGGCAGAGGGGGAACUGGGUGGUGUUUCAGAUGUGGCUUUUCAAGCUGUGGCCAGAUUGGCAGCAUCAGCAUCACCUGUUGCCUUGAAAACUGCUUGAUAUGAAUGACUGCAAGAUCUGCUGUUAGUCCCCAGAGCUGCCUUUUACUUCUUUGGAGAAGCUGGGACUGAGGUUGCGUAUUUGGGCAGGGCUCAGCUGUGUGGUUCUUCUACCCUAUGUCACCUGGAGUUAAUGCAUGCUUACAUUUAGCUGGUGAUUCAGAUGGAACACUACGAUGGCCUCUCACCCCCCAGGGUCUCUCUGUAUGUGGCCUCUCAUCAUUGAGCGGUUCAGCUUGGACUUCCUUACAGCAUGGCAUCUGGGCUGCAAGAAGGGAAAGAUGCAGCUGCAAACCUUAAGGGCUGAAGUCUCAAGACAUCACCUCCACUACAAUCUAUUGGCUAAAGCAAAUCCCAGGGCCAGUCCAGACUCAGGAGUAGGAGAAAAUAUUAAUAACGCCUCUUGCUAUGAAGAGUGGCAAGUGUAUACAGGGAGGAGAGGAAGUGCCGGUGGCCAUUUUUGGAAACCAUUAACAUAUAAUUGCAGAUAGUGAUACACUCAGCAAUGAAUAUUAAGCCUAGUAAAGGGAAAGUCUAGAAGGGCUUUCAGGAGGAUUUAUCUUCUGGGCCGGAUCCUGCCUAGGAAAGGCUCAUGCAUCCUUCCUACAAAAGAGGCACUGACACUUCUGAUUAAGGUAGGAUAAGCUGUCACUUGUUGGUAAAGUUUCUACCAGUCUCUAACCCAUUGAAGGAGAAUAUUUUGCUUUCUUCUCUCAGAUCUUGUGGAUGUGCUGUGGAAAUGGAGAACCUUAACCAUUGCAUAGAAUGGACUUGGGGCAAGUUCCUGAGCUAUAAGUUACAUAGCUCAGAAGUAGCAGAGCCAGGAUCCAACACCUGUUUUGCCAUACAUCAAAUGGGGACAAUAGAAGUAACUGAUAUUAACCUAGGGCUGAAAUAAGGCAUGUCUGCUGCUUGGUGGUUGCAGUCACAGUCACAGGAAGUUUUAAAGGCACUGUAGCCAAGAGUUUGGCUUCCUCCUCACAGGUCUCUUGGGGUGGCCCUGUCCUCCCUCUUGUUUCCUUGGCACAGCAGGGUCUAGACCCUCUACUCAGCCAUACACAGGAGCCAGGCUGCUGGAAAACAUACCCCCAGCCCCAACUGCUUUGUCCAGUCUUGGGGGAGGUGGGAAAUGUACACACCUAGAAGUGAUGAUGGUAUUUCUCCUGCAGGUUCCCAUGAAAAGCAGCAUCCCAGUGAAGUCAAAGCCCUGGAACCAUCCUCUUCAUCUGUGUUGCUGCUGAGAGAUCAGAAGUCUACCUCUGGAGAUAGAAUCCUUGUCUGCUGCUGGGAUGGAGGGAAGUGCUAACAUUCCACUAGAAAGUGGGUUCUUCCAUGGAGGGACAGAAUUUGAUUCUUGCUGCUUAUACAAAGUAGGUGUUCACAAGGCACUUGUGAACAGCUAGCUCUGCAGAACAAGUCUCCAUCAUCUCGUUGCAGGCUGCUUACCUGCUGGGAGUGGCAUCCUGGGGCCUUCCUCUCUGGCCACCCUAGACUUUGGUUUUAAUUGCUCCUGAGUCUCCCUUCUUCCUGCCGGCUGGCCCUGCGGUCUGUCACCUACGGGACGGCCAACGUCAGAGCUGGGUGACCUUUCAAAGACACCAGGAUUUGUUUAAUUUUCAGAAUUCACCUCUCUUCAUCCUUUUUAUCAGAGGCAGUUAGGGCCCAGCUGGGGAGGCUAUUUGGCAUUUUUCCCUGUAUUUUGAAACAGGUGGGCUGGGGCCUUCUCAAGUGGAGUCUUUUCAACUGAGAGAACUAGAAAGACAGACAAUGAUAGAAUGGGGUGGGGGUGGAGUAGAAUUACCAAGAGAACCAAACAUACAUUAAGUUAUUUUAACACCUGACUCAUUUUCAUGAAAGUCUUCAUUACUGCAUCUUCUGUCUCCAAGGUUUUCUACACACAUAAUUGCAGCUUGUGUUUACAAAGUCAUUACCACAUGCCAAGCACGUCACAUGUCUCGCUUCAUGUAACCUUCACAGCAGCACCUUGAGGUUCUGUUAUCUCCGUUUUACAGGUAGGUAAGGUUAGUUAUUGCCCAAAGCCAUACAGUGUGUUGAGGGGCCAGAGUUUAAACACAGCUCUGUAGACUCAGUCUGUCCACGAAGCAAGAGUAUGUGCAAACCUCACCUGAUCCUCACAAUAACCUUGGAAAAGAAAUGUAUCCUCCCAUCUGAUAGAGUCCGAGUAGUCUCAGCUGCUAUAAUUGUUAUUCCUUCUGUGCUCAACAUUUGUUGGCUGGGUGACUUGAAAGCUGAAGUGAGAAAAACAGUACCUGGAACAUGGAGUAAAAACCCUUUAACAUAUGGGAAUCUACUAAACCCCAUCAGGUCAGUGAAAUAGGUACUAUUAUCACCAUUUUACAGGAGAAAAAA